rnacentral:rRNA from 1 species
UACGUAGGGUGCGGGCGUUAAUCGGAAUUACUGGGCGUAAAGCGAGCGUAGGUGGUUUAAUAAGUCUGAUGUAAAAGGCAGUGGCUCAACCAUUGUGUGCAUUGGAAACUGUUAGACUUGAGUGCAGUAGAGGAGAGUGGAAUUCCAUGUGUAGCGGUGAAAUGCGUAGAUAUAUGGAGGAACACCGGUGGCGAAAGCGGCUCUCUGGCCUGUAACUGACACUGAGGCUCGAAAGCGUGGGGAGCAAACAGG